GACUGGAUGCCAUUUUGGUAUAGUGAGCAUGAAUUAACAGAGUUCUUGAUUCUUGGAAAUCUAAGGAGGAGUGUUAACAGAACUGCCACCUUUGUCUUCCAGAGGGAAGACUUUGGCCUGUUUAGGAGACUGGUUGACAGAGUCCCCUGGGAGGCAGUCCUGAAGGGGAAAAGAAGGCUGGACACUCUUAAAGAAGGAAAUCUUAAUAGUGCAGGAACGGACCAUAUCAUAAGCUGGUGAGCUGUGGAGGGAGAGGAGAAGACUGAUGGGCAUCAGGAAAGCUGAAGACAUGUGGUGGUAUGACAACCCAAAGCAACUCUGCCACAAAUGGCGUCACUGAAUGGAAAGCAUCUGGAUAUGUAAGGAUGCAGCAUUUGGAGAAAGACAAAUGUAGAGAAGGCAAAGCAGUAGGUCUGAAAAAAAACCUUGAUGUAAUGCAUUCAUAUUGAAAUACUGAAGCACGACUUCUCAUAAAUACUUAUUAUUUUUCCACAAAAUAGAAGCAAAUGCUGCUUGCAGUUCCAGUACACAGAACUUCGUUCUUCUUAUUGAAUCUUUCUUCUUGCUAUUCUUGCUUUUUUUGCAGCACUCACUUUCUCAUCAUUAGCAUUUGGCCAUUAGUAAUAUAAAAAUGUCCUGGUAUAAAUAAGAUCUUAUGAAUUUUUGAAUUAUGACCAUUCAAAAGUCAGAAUUGGCAAUAGUAACACAAAAAUUGACUAGUUAGGGACUGAGAUAUUAUUAUAUGAAUUGAAAAUAAAUGCUUUUGAAUUUAUUAUUGUCAUUAUAUUUUAUUAAUUUUCUUCUGAUUAUUAUGUAUAUCUCUUUUUUUGAUUUGUAAGGAAAAGAAGAAAAUCAGGUUUGACAAAAAGAAUCUUGCCAACAUUCUGUAUUGGUUCUAGUAUGAUGGCCAUAUAAUUGGCUCUUAUUUUACCAUAAACUGCCAAACGUUUGUGUAGGGCUGCAUAUCUUUCUGAAUAUGUGUCUUUGAAAGAAUGGAGCUGCAAUUAGAAAAGUGAGAUAUAUGAAACAUUCCCUAGUUAAAGCAGUUACACUUAGAUAUUUUAAAUUCUUUUAGUUCAUAACAUUAUGAAGUGUUUAUUUAAUGCUGGCCUGCCUCAUGAAUAUUUCUUGUACCAGCUCCCAGCUGCAAGACUAGUUGUAUUUCAGUGUAUAUUUCACACUGUAAUUCAAUGUGAAAUAUAAGCCCUAAUAUUUAUUCCAUCUUUCCUAAUAGCAUGAAUUGAUUUGCUAAAGAACUUUUCACUCAUAGCAUUUCAGUUGUAAGCAGUAGGCAUGGACCUGAGACAGUCUUGAUGUCAUUAUUAGGAUAACUGUUGUGUUUAUUUGAGUGUUGCAUGAAGCCCUGACUUUUGUGCAGCCAGGGCCUUACCGUUCCCUAGCAUGGCAUGCACAAAUGCAGACCAUCUUCCAUUCUCACAUCAAAGAACAUAAGUUCUUGCCUUGAUAUUGGCAGUUUUGAUACAAACACUAUUGUCUACAGGAGAAGAAUCUGCUGCAUGUUUCUCAGAAUCAAAGUGACAGUGUUGCUGUCUGCUGUUGCUUUGUCUUGAAAGCAGAUGACCUCUGGCAGUGCAUCCAGGUCUUGCACCUUUUUGGAAAUCUUUUUUCUUCAAAUGCACUCCCUGUGGUGUGAAACAAAGAAAUUGCCUUCUGUAGAAAUUUCAUAGAAGAAAAAGCGUAGAGGUUUUCUGAUUAAAAUGCACAGAGCAGUUGUGCCAGGGUUGCACUCACACAGCAAGAGAAGACUGAACACACAACUGUUCAUUUUAAUGAGGAAGUGUAGGUGGUAGAAGAUGACCUAGAUGAUUUUAUGAAUAAAAGAUAUAAUCUGAUGCAAUCAUUUCAUUAAUACACACAUGGCAUCAAAUGAAAGCAGAGUGUAGCAGAUGGCUGUGAGAGGUCUUAGAUAGGCGUUUUCAGUUUAGUAGCUAACUACUUAGAUUUUGUGGAUUACACCAAAUGCUAUCAGAAAGAAAGCACUCAUCACAUUGGUCUUUGAAAGGAAGUACUUCAGUUUUAUAAAAGUAACGCUGGAAUAUCUCCCUUUUGCAACACUAGAUGGAAAAUGCAAUCACAAAGCUAAUGUGGGGCAAUACAUUCCACUAAAACUUCUGAAAGAAAAGCCUAUUAUUAUUAUAGCCUGUUACUAUAGCCUAUUAUUCUUAAGUGAUAGGUUGCAAUUUUUUUUGCUCUCAGUUUUCUAAAAUUGGUAGAAAUGGUUUUAUAAUACAAUCAUGAAAUACAGUAUUGUCAUUCAAGUUUUGAAUUUAAGCCUGGCAUUUAUGUAUUUGCUGUAAUUUCAGAUCCACCAUGUACAAGUGCAAAACAAAAAUCAUCAAGGAAGGUCCUUGGGAUAGUACCAAAAAAAAACGGAGAUUUAUUCUGAGAUAAAACAUAUGGAAAAAAAAUCUAUGUCUUUAAAAGGAUGUAGUAUUUGGGGGAUGCUUCUGUAAGAUCUGGACCUUGUUUUCACAUGAAUUAAUCUCAACAUAGAGAACGACGAAGUGGGAACACAAUGAUUCUGUACACAAUCUGACAGCAGGUAGGCAGCAGCCAGCUGGCUGCUUUGCCCUGCCCAAGUCAUGCCAUCGGCACUGGGGCUCCAGGGAGUCUGAUACCAGAGCCAAAUGUGAUGGUGCAGGUCCUGUGUGGUCAGCCCUGUAUUUGAGGAAUGCAUAGCCUGAGAGAUUUGUUGGCUUCCCAGCCUUUUGCAAAACCAAAUCAGGGCAAAAGGGCUGGAUUUCUUAGAGAGAAUCUGUCCUAUCACUUCUUAGAGACAGAUUAACCUCGGUUUGGCAUCUGAACUGAGGACACACACAGUCUCAUUCUCCAAAUCUAAUCCAAGAUCAGCUCCAUCUGUAUUAUGUUAACAUGAAUUAAUAUUGAGGCAGAGCCAUCUCUGAAUACAUGUGGGAGCUGGAGUUCUGAUUUUGUUUUGGAAAUGUUGUUUGAGCUCAGUUGCUGCCUUGACUUUGGUGUGGGGAGCUCUUUUUGCUGGUGUGAGGUUUGUGAGGGUUGUGUUAUGAAUGUACACGCUGAAUUUAAUCUGCAGAUGAAUAGUCAUUCUCUUCAAAUGCAGAGCAAAACAAAGACAAAUACAUCCUCAACUCCAAAGCCUGCACUUGGGAACAUAAAGCCGACAUUUUUUUCCUUUAUAUACAGCUGACAAAUAUAUAGAACUGGACAGGCCUGGCCCUGUUGCUUCAGUAGGAAAUGGUUAUUUGUAAGCCAUGAGCUUUGUAAGACUUAAAGCGCUGAUAAUCCUGAGUGCUUGUGAAUGAAAUAUAAGCAUGAUUUUAUAAUGUGAAUAUCAUACAUGAUGCAGAUACUUCCGUAGCGUUCUUAGCAGCCUACUCCUCUGCAAAUCAUGGCUUUAUCAUGGGCUGAAGUAUUCAUGGAAAUGGUGGAAAAUCUAAUAAAAACCC
ensembl:lncRNA